rnacentral:tRNA from 1 species
GUUUCUGUAGUUGAAAUUUACAACAGCGGCUUUUCAAGCCGCAGGUCUUGGAGAGAAGCCAGGCAGGAAUU